UACGAAGGGGGCUAGCGUUGCUCGGAAUUACUGGGCGUAAAGCGCACGUAGGCGGACUGUUAAGUCGGGGGUGAAAUCCUGGAGCUCAACUCCAGAACUGCCUUCGAUACUGGCGAUCUCGAGUUCGGGAGAGGUGAGUGGAACUGCGAGUGUAGAGGUGAAAUUCGUAGAUAUUAGGAAGAACACCAGUGGCGAAGGCGGCUCACUGGUCCGGUACUGACGCUGAGGUGCGAAAGCGUGGGGAGCAAACAGG
rnacentral:rRNA from 1 species